rnacentral:rRNA from 1 species
AUUGAACGCUGGCGGCAGGCCUAACACAUGCAAGUCGAGCGAGCGGCGGACGGGUGAGUAAUUUCUGGGAAACUGCCUGCUGGGGGGGGAUAACUACUGGAAACGGUCGCUAAUACCGCAUACCCUCAGAUGUGCCCGCAUGGGAUUAGCUAGUGGGUGGGGUAAAGGCUCACCUAGGCGACGAUCCCUAGCUGGUCUGAGAGGAUGACCGGCCACACUGGAACUGAGACACGGUCCAGACUCCUACGGGAGGCAGCAGUGGGGAAUAUUGCACAAGGGGGGAAAGCCUGAUGCAGCCAGGCCGCGUGUGUGAAGAAGGCCUUCGGGUUGUAAAGCACUUUCAGCGGGGAGGCGUUACCCGAAGAAGAAGCACCGGCUAACUCCGUGCCAGCAGCCGCGGUAAUUC